rnacentral:rRNA from 1 species
CCCAUUUCACGGAGGAGCAGGCGCGACAUUACCCAAUGGUCGCAGACCGAGGUAGUGACGAUAAAUAACGAUACCGGACUCAUCCGAGGCCCGGUAAUCGGAAUGAGUACACUUUAAAUCCUUUAACGAGGAACAAUUGGAGGGCAAGUCUGGUGCCAGCAGCCGCGGUAAUUCCAGCUCCAAUAGCGUAUAUUAAAGUUGUUGCGGUUAAAAAGCUCGUAGUUGGAUCUCGGCAGGUAGGGGGCGGUUCGUUUCUGACGGCACUGCCCCAUUUACCUGUGUUUUUGACGGAGGUUUCACGGUGAUUUUCAUCGAUUGUCGUGAUACGCCGUCAGGUUUACUUUGAAAAAAUUAGAGUGCUCAAAGCAGGCUACAAGCUUGAAUAUUUGUGCAUGGAAUAAUGGAAUAGGAAGUCGUUUCUAUUUUUUUGGUUUUCGGAAAUUGACUUAAUGAUUAAUAGGGACAGCCGGGGGCAUUCGUACUCAGACGACAGAGGUGAAAUUCUUGGACCGUCUGAGGACGAGCUACUGCGAAAGCAUUUGCCAAGAGUGUUUUCAUUAAUCAAGAACGAAAGUUAGAGGUUCGAAGGCGAUCAGAUACCGCCCUAGUUCUAACCAUAAACGAUGCUGACUAGCGAUCCGUAGCUGUUUUCUAUGUAGGCUCUACGGGAAGCUUCCGGGAAACCAAAGUUUUUGAGUUCCGGGGGAAGUAUGGUUGCAAAGCUGAAACUUAAAGGAAUUGACGGAAGGGCACCACCAGGAGUGGAGCCUGCGGCUUAAUUUGACUCAACACGGGAAAUCUCACCAGGCCCGGACACUGGAAGGAUUGACAGAUUGAGAGCUCUUUCUCGAUUCAGUGGGUGGUGGUGCAUGGCCGUUCUUAGUUGGUGGAGUGAUUUGUCUGGUUAAUUCCGAUAACGAACGAGACUCUGUCCUGCUAAAUAGGUAUGCCGUCUCUUUUGCGGUAUACAUUCUUCUUAGAGGGACUGGCGGCGUCUAGUCGCACGAGAUUGAGCAAUAACAGGUCUGUGAUGCCCUUAGAUGUUCUGGGCCGCACACGCGCUACACUGAAUGGAUCAGCGUGUUUUCCCUUCCCGAGAGGGACGGGUAACCCGUUGAACCCCAUUCGUGGUAGGGAUCGGAGCUUGCAAUUAUUCUCCGUGAACCAGGAAUUCCCAGUAAGCGCAAGUCAUAAGCUUGCGUUGAUUACGUCCCUGCCCUUUGUACACACCGCCCGUCGCUACUACCGAUUGAACGUUUUAGUGAGAAAUCUGGAUUCGACCUCCUUGGGUUAAUUCCUAGGGUGUGUCGGAGAAGUUUUCAAACUUGAGCGUUUAG